rnacentral:tRNA from 2 species
GUAAGUAUAGUUUAACCAAAAUAUCAGAUUGUGAUUCUGAAGACAGGGGUUAAACCCCCCUUACUCACC